GUAUUCAAAAGUGAAAAAAAGAUAACUGGCUCUACGUGUGUGUGUGCGUUUGUCCCUAAUCUGCAGCUGUUUUGUUGCGGCCCGUUCCCAAAGGAGAGUUAAGGAGAUCUCAGGUGCUCGCGGAUGCUGCUGCUUUCAGGCAUCAAUAAAAUGUGCACAACACCACAAAUGCGAUCACUGAACAGCGCUUUAGUUUGCCAUUAGGUUUGGAUUAGUAUGUAUACUCCUUUAUGGCCAGAGAUGCUGUGUACAGGAAAGAAGAAUAAACAUGCUGGUUACUUUGAUGUUGGAAAUCUCGGCAGGAAUAAAAAAACAGAUACAAACUGAAUGCUUAAAAUGUUUUGGAACAUUCUUAGGUGGACUAAAUCGUCAGUGGGAAACUGCAAAUAAACAAACAAACUAAAUAAAAUGCAGAUAAGAAGACCAGCGCUGCUAUUUCAAACCACAUACUGGUUCUUCUGGACGUGUCGUUGCAUAUUUUACAGCAUAUAUUGAUUUACACACAGACACAAACUGGGAAACUUACUGCCUGUUAAGGAGGAAUUGAAUUCUUCUAGCUAUCCUGUUAUGUCAAUACUCCCACCAGUUUUGUUUGAUCCGAGGCCUGCUGCGGCGGAUUUAUUCUAGUAGCCGAGUCAUAUUUGACACAUGGCCCUUCUCUGUCAUACCACUUAAGAUUUUCAGAUUUAAACUGUGCCAAGAAUAUACAACAUGCCUGCAAUAUUUACAGAUUCCUCCAAGUUCACCUGGAAGCAUUUUUAGCCUGGAAUGGAUUUGGCAUGAGGAUUGGGGGAGCAUUUGGCAGGUGGAAGACGAGAGAAAAGAACCUUUGGGACUGAGGGGGGAUUUGACCUGACAGGGCUGUGACGACAUGGAAAAAAGGGAUUGGAAAACUGAAACAUCUUUAUGUGGAAAGCUCUGUGCCUGUGCCACUGUGGGAUUCCUUGUGACAACAAAUGCAGAUGCAAAUGUUCUACUAUGAUUUGCAUUCACACCAUUGCAUUUAAGUAAAAAAAGCACACUUCGGCACUUACAUCAAGGACAUCCUCCGUCUGAUCUGAGGUCAGAAUGUUGACUGUAACCUUCUGACCGUUGGAGAGGCAGAUGUCUAGAGAGACUUCUUCUGUGGGAAUCUGCUGCGUCUCCUGCACCAACAACACAAAACAUAACAGGCUUUCCUUCAGCUUCAUGGCGGGGGGUCUCCAAGUACAUCCCUUCCACUAAAGGUGCAGAUUAAAUCACAACACCGGGUGGUAACUCAUCUCCUAUACUACACCUGCUGUCCUCACAGUACACUGGGGGGGAACACAGACUCUAAUGAAAGAGGAAAACAGAGGAGGAGAAGCAGAAUGGGUGUGACGUGGCUGCAGACGGAUGAAUCUGUCCAUGAAGAUUAUUGGAUUUACAGCCCUCCUGGCAACACAGGUCACAGCUUGAAUGAUGGUGAAUCAACCUCGCUACCUCGUCUGAAUAAGUCAUUGACUCGCUACCCGUUUGAAAUAGCCUUUUCUGUUUGGCAGCAACAACACACCAUGGGUUUGAGUUCUUACAGUGUCAUCCACUUCAGCUACAAUAUGUUUGCAUUUUUAGUACUGCCGAAAGAGCCUUUUGUCAAAUGUAGUGAGAUGAAUCAUU